AGCGAACGCUGGCGGCAGGCCUAACACAUGCAAGUCGAACGGACCCUUCGGGGUUAGUGGCGGACGGGUGAGUAACACGUGGGAACGUGCCUUUAGGUUCGGAAUAGCUCCUGGAAACGGGUGGUAAUGCCGAAUGUGCCCUUCGGGGGAAAGAUUUAUCGCCUUUAGAGCGGCCCGCGUCUGAUUAGCUAGUUGGUGGUGUAACGGACCACCAAGGCGACGAUAAGUAGCUGGUCUGAGAGGAUGAUCAGCCACAUUGGGACUGAGACACGGCCCAAACUCCUACGGGAGGCAGCAGUGGGGAAUCUUGCGCAAUGGGCGAAAGCCUGACGCAGCCAUGCCGCGUGAAUGAUGAAGGUCUUAGGAUUGUAAAAUUCUUUCACCGGGGACGAUAAUGACGGUACCCGGAGAAGAAGCCCCGGCUAACUUCGUGCCAGCAGCCGCCGUAAUAC
rnacentral:rRNA from 1 species